rnacentral:lncRNA from 1 species
CCAACACCUGCUCCUUCCCAGACCCUCAUCCCCCUGCCCCAGUCUCGCUCUUCAGCGCACCCCCGGCACCUCCAUUGCGUCCCCUCCCCCCACCUCCUCGUAGCGCCCCCAUCUGCUCCCCGCCCCCGCCCGCCGGGGAAAGCCCAGCUGACGCUUCCGGCACCGCCCCCUUCCCGGCAGGGCCGCUCCCCGCCCUUCCCGCCCGCGGGAGCAACACCGCCCCCCGCGCCCCACCCCGCGCCCCGCCGCCCGCCCGGGUCCCCCAAGCCCGCUCUGCGCAGGGCGGGGUCCUUCCUCUGCAAAGGGCGGACCGAAGACCCGGGCGCCGGGCAGAGGCUGGAGGGGGGCCCGGGUGGGGUGAAUCCCCAGUGGGUGCCCGCUCCCCACCCCCACCGCGACCACCAGCCCCCGCUCCGAGCAGGGACUCCGAGGCUUGCGGGUGACCCUCGAGUGGUGGCCGCCCUGUGGCCCAGAGAGCCCCGUCGCAGGCAGGUUCUCGCCCAAGGCAGGGCCCUCCCCUCCUCCCCCAAGCGGCACGUGAGCCCUGUUCAGGGACAGCAGAGCCACCAGCCCAGGACCGGACCUGCUGCCUCUGCGGACCUCGGCAGCCCUGGUCACUCCCGGCUCUGGCAGGACAGGUGCAAACUCAGUGGUAAAGGUCCGUCCUGAUUAAUGAGACAAACCCACGCCCGUUCUCCUCCUGAUUACCUACAAUGGUCAAUUUUAUUACAAAGAACUGUAUCAAAAUAUACAAGUCUGUUUAAGAACAACCAAGAAAUGCAGCUGUUUA